UGGGGAAUAUUGCACAAUGGGCGCAAGCCUGAUGCAGCCAUGCCGCGUGUAUGAAGAAGGCCUUCGGGUUGUAAAGUACUUUCAGCGGGGAGGAAGGGAGUAAAGUUAAUACCUUUACUCAUUGACGUUACCCGCAGAAGAAGCACCGGCUAACUCCGUGCCAGCAGCCGCGGUAAUACGGAGGGUGCAAGCAUUAAUCGGAAUUACUGGGCGUAAAGCGCACGCAGGCGGUUUGUUAAGUCAGAUGUGAAAUCCCCGGGCUCAACCUGGGAACUGCAUCUGAUACUGGCAAGCUUGAAUCUCGUAGAGGGGGGUAGAAUUCCAGGUGUAGCGGUGAAAUGCGUAGAGAUCUGGAGGAAUACCGGUGGCGAAGGCGGCCCCCUGGACGAAGACUGACGCUCAGGUGCGAAAGCGUGGGGAGCAAACAGG
rnacentral:rRNA from 1 species